AUACGGAGGACGCGAGCGUUAUCCGGAUUCAUUGGGCUUAAAGGGUGCGCAGGCGGCCAUGCAAGUCAGCGGUGAAAGCCCGGGGCCCAACCCCGGAAGUGCCGUUGAUACUGUAUGGCUGGAAUGCGGUCGAGGCGGGCGGGAACUGGUGGGGAGAGGUGAAAUGCUGAGAUAGUACACAGAAAGCCGAUAGCGGAGGCAGCACGCGAGUCCUUCUUAGGCGAUCGGGCACUAAGGGGUGGGGAUCGAACAGGAUUAGAUCCCCUGGUAGUCCUGGCCGUAAACGAUGGACGCUCGGCGUCGGCGAUAGAAUGUCGGCGGCCAAGCGAAAGCGAUAAGCGUCCCACCUGGGGAGUACGGUCGCAAGGCUGAAACUCAAAGGAAUUGGCGGGG
rnacentral:rRNA from 1 species